UACUGACCGUCUUCAUUUUUAUAAAAUUUCUUAUACGUCUAUAAGCUAUGGUUAAGUCAAUUUGCUUGAUAAUGGAUGAAUAAAGGAUGAAGAAGCGCAAGCGCACUUGACUAUCGCCUCCAGCUGACAGAUCAGUCUACUUUGAGACGUCGAAGAAGAAGCUGAUGUUCAAUAAAUUGUUCGUUCAGCAGCGACAAAUUUUUUUCCACUGAAACCUUUUGUGCAGCAGUAUUUUUUGCAAAGCUAUGACAGAAGGUAUUUAACAAUCUACCGAUGUUUUGACAUCACUUUGAUUGGAACGGUGUUUUCCUCUACUUUUUCCAUAAAAUGAAACAGCACAUGGCAUCUUUCUUGUACGUUUUUAAAGAACAGGUCUGUUUUUUACGGAUACACACGGAUUAUUUCUUGUACAUUUUUAUGUAGAGUCGUGCAAAGAUUCUUCGUAUAUAGACGCGGAGCAGUGUCACUGCUCUUUCGUCACCACACGCGUAAUGUUAGCGGAAGACACAAUCAUGUCUCUCUUGCCCGUAUAUCAUACUUACAAUUACAUAGUUGAGAUUAUCAUACUAAGUCCAGUAAUUAAACAGUACAUUAAUAUUUUAUCCCAAAUUACAUAUUUAAAUACAAUACAGAAUUACAACAUUAAAUUUAAUAAUGAAUAUUUUCUAAAGUAUGAUAUAUUAAAUUAGCAACUAAUAGGAUUCCCUUAAAUAAAACAAAUACCUAAAAUAAUAUAAAAUCUAUACUAUCAAAUUUAAGUAAUAUCUUGCCUAAAAUAAUCGACAUGUGCCAAUUUCUGUCUGAUACAUAUAACAUAGGCAGUUUCUUUCUUUCUUUCAUCACUUAUCUUUGUGAGGACAAUUAUAAUGCAUAUAAGCGUUCCUCUGAAUAACUAUAUCUUCAUUGUUAUUUCUUUGUCAUCUCAUACUCAUAAACGCAUGGCGUGCAUAACAGUAAAAUAUGAUACAGC